rnacentral:tRNA from 1 species
GCGCUGGAGGCGCUGGGAUACACCGAGGAGUGGUUGCAGUCCGGUCUCCUCGAUCGUCGGCUGCUCGCCGAUCAGUACGAGCGAUUCCGGGCCGGUGGCACCCGGAAGGGGGUUCGAGUCCCUCCCAGCGCACCA